rnacentral:rRNA from 1 species
UACGGGAGGCAGCAGUGGGGAAUAUUGCACAAUGGGCGCAAGCCUGAUGCAGCCAUGCCGCGUGUAUGAAGAAGGCCUUCGGGUUGUAAAGUACUUUCAGCGGGGAGGAAGGCGAUGCGGUUAAUAACCGCGUCGAUUGACGUUACCCGCAGAAGAAGCACCGGCUAACUCCGUGCCAGCAGCCGCGGUAAUACGGAGGGUGCAAGCGUUAAUCGGAAUUACUGGGCGUAAAGCGCACGCAGGCGGUCUGUUAAGUCAGAUGUGAAAUCCCCGGGCUUAACCUGGGAACUGCAUUUGAACUGGCAGGCUUGAGUCUUGUAGAGGGGGUAGAAUUCCAGGUGUAGCGGUGAAAUGCGUAGAGAUCUGGAGGAAUCCGGUGGCGAAGGCGGCCCCUGGGACAAAGCUGACGCUCAGGGUGCGAAAGCGUGGGGAGCAAACGAGGAUUAGGAU